rnacentral:rRNA from 1 species
UACGGAGGGGGCUAGCGUUGUUCGGAAUUACUGGGCGUAAAGCGCACGUAGGCGGAUCAGUCAGUUAGAGGUGAAAGCCCAGGGCUCAACCCUGGAACUGCCUUUAAUACUGCUGGUCUGGAGUCCGAGAGAGGUGAGUGGAAUUCCGAGUGUAGAGGUGAAAUUCGUAGAUAUUCGGAGGAACACCAGUGGCGAAGGCGGCUCACUGGCUCGGUACUGACGCUGAGGUGCGAAAGCGUGGGGAGCAAACGGG